rnacentral:rRNA from 1 species
GUAACACGUGGGAACGUGCCUUUAGGUUCGGAAUAGCUCCUGGAAACGGGUGGUAAUGCCGAAUGUGCCCUUCGGGGGAAAGAUUUAUCGCCUUUAGAGCGGCCCGCGUCUGAUUAGCUAGUUGGUGGGGUAAUGGCCCACCAAGGCUACGAUCAGUAGCUGGUCUGAGAGGAUGACCAGCCACAUUGGGACUGAGACACGGCCCAAACUCCUACGGGAGGCAGCAGUGGGGAAUCUUGCGCAAUGGGCGAAAGCCUGACGCAGCCAUGCCGCGUGUAUGAUGAAGGUCUUAGGAUUGUAAAAUACUUUCACCGGUGAAGAUAAUGACUGUAGCCGGAGAAGAAGCCCCGGCUAACUUCGUGCCAGCAGCCGCGGUAAUACGAAGGGGGCUAGCGUUGCUCGGAAUUACUGGGCGUAAAGGGAGCGUAGGCGGACAUUUAAGUCAGAGGUGAAAUCCCGGAGCUUAACUUCGGAACUGCCUUUGAUACUGGGUGUCUUGAGUGUGAGAGAGGUAUGUGGAACUCCGAGUGUAGAGG